GACGAACGCUGGCGGCGUGCCUAAUACAUGCAAGUCGAACGAAGUGGCGAACGGGUGAGUAACGCGUAAUCAACCUGCCCUUCAGAGGGGGACAACAGUUGGAAACGACUGCUAAUACCGCAUACUGAAGGAGGGGAUUGCGUCUGAUUAGCUAGUUGGAGGGGUAACGGCCCACCAAGGCGAUGAUCAGUCGCCGGGCUGAGAGGAUGAACGGCCAAAGUGGGACUGGGACACGGCCCAGACUCCUACGGGAGGGAGCAGUGGGGAAACUUCCGAAAUGGACGAAAGUCUGACGGAGCAAAGCCGCGUGAGUGAUGACGGCCUUCGGGGUGGAAAGCUCUGUUAAUCGGGACGCGGUACCGGAAUAGAAAGCCACGGCUAACUACGUGCCAGCAGCCGCGGUAAUUC
rnacentral:rRNA from 1 species